UACGUAGGCAGCAAGCGUUGUUCGGAGUUACUGGGCGUAAAGGGUGUGUAGGCGGGUCUUUAAGUUUGGUGUGAAAUCUCCCGGCUCAACUGGGAGGGUGCGCCGAAUACUGAGGGACUAGAGUACGGGAGAGGAAAGUGGAAUUCCUGGUGUAGCGGUGAAAUGCGUAGAUAUCAGGAGGAACACCGGUGGUGUAGACGGCUUUCUGGACCGACACUGACGCUGAAACACGAAAGCGUGGGUAGCAAACAGG
rnacentral:rRNA from 1 species